AGUGAACGCUGGCGGUAGGCCUAACACAUGCAAGUCGAACGGCAGCACAGUAAGAUCUUGCUCUUACGGGUGGCGAGUGGCGGACGGGUGAGGAAUACAUCGGAAUCUACUUUUUCGUGGGGGAUUACGUAGGGAAACUUACGCUAAUACCGCAUACGUCCUACGGGUGAAAGCAGGGGAUCUUCGGACCUUGCACGAUUGAAUGAGCCGAUGUCGGAUUAGCUAGUUGGCGGGGUAAAGGCCCACCAAGGCAACGAUCCGUAGCUGGUCUGAGAGGAUGAUCAGCCACACUGGAACUGAGACACGGUCCAGACUCCUACGGGAGGCAGCAGUGGGGAAUAUUGGACAAUGGGCGCAAGCCUGAUCCAGCCAUACCGCGUGAGUGAAGAAGGCCUUCGGGUUGUAAAGCCCUUUUGUUGGGAAAGAAAAGCAGCAGGUUAAUACCCCGCUGUUCUGACGGUACCCAAAGAAUAAGCACCGGCUAACUUCGUG
rnacentral:rRNA from 1 species